AUUGAUAGCUAGAGCUGUGCUAUACCGGGUGGAAAGUGAUUUCCUCUCACUGUCUACAUUCCCUGAUUUAAAUCCUGAAUAUGGCCUUUGGUCUCCUGGCACAUUAUUCAGGCGAGAAACCUCCCUGAGAAUAAUCUGGACUCUCAGGCUCCCAACGGCAGCCUCUUCCUUCCCUUGGCACAGCUGCUCUGCUUUCCUCAGCCUCACGCUCUGUUUGACGCAAAUGCAUUGUACAGAGGUCACCACUGGAAUCCACAUAUAUGGUUGACCGGCAAUCAAAGAGUAUCUUUACAUAGAAGCCUUCUGGGAAAGAUUGCAUUCUCAAGAAAGAGUGAACAUUGAAGGCAACCUGAACCCAGUAAUGAAAUUGGAUUUCUGGACCGUCAAUCACUUAGCUUUUUUCAUGUCUUGACCCUUUCUGUAUUGAGGCUUUAAUUUAAGAUGAAACUCUGAGAAAAGAGUACGUAAUUUUUAUAUAAAAUUGUUUUAACUUUUAAAGAAUAAUGGACAUGCAGGACUCACAAAUCUACAGUGUACGAUCCCUAAGUCAUAACCUAUAAACAACCAUGAGGUCAUCACGACAAUCAAGAAACAGACGUAUCCAUCAUCCCCGAAGACCUGCAUGCUCCGUUAUAAUCACUCGCGCGGCUCUCCCAUCUUCCCCAGGGAAACACGGAUAUGCAGACUGUCACUGUGAAUUAGUUUGAGUUUUCUAGAAUUUCUAUUGUUUCAUUUUUUUUAGAAUCUCACAACAGAAGCGGCCAGUAUUUACUCUUUCAUUCAGAUAUUUAGACUUAGCUAAAUUAUUUUUUAAUUCCAAUGUUUCUAUCAACAGUUCCCUUUGACUGUUCAAUAGAAUCUCUUUUGUAUGUAUUGAUCUAUUUAUUUGUUGAUUUGUUUUUAGUAUCUGCAUCAUGUAAUUUGAAACACUGGUGCUCAUAUAUUUAAAACUGCUUUUUCUUCUUGGAGAAUGGAACCCUUUAUCAUACGAAAAGUCUCUUUUUAUUUCUGGUAAUAUUCCUUGUUCCGAAGGUCACAUUGAGUGAUAUAAAUAUAGCUACCCUGGCUUGAUUUGAAUUUGUAUUUUCCUGGUCUAUCUUUUUCAUCCUUUUAUCUUUAAAUAAUGUAUAUCUUUACAUU